GUGCUAAACAAACCUAAAGAGGUAAAUUAACAGAAUGACUAAUUUAGCCAUUGCUGCCAGUCACCUUCAGAAAAGU
rnacentral:snoRNA from 1 species